GUUGAUUUACAAAUUUUAAUUUCUCAACAGAACAUUAAACAGGAGUUUGCUAGCAAAUGGCUUAUUUACCAAAUUGUUCGGAUAUUUUCAAAACUGUUAUGAGUGAAAUAGAUUGCAAAUAUGUUAAUUAUAAUUCAUUGACAGACAAAACCGUGAAUUGUGAUGGUUCUAGCAUGACUGCUUUUCCACGAAAUGUUAAUUGCUCUGGCGUCGAAGGAAGAUGUUUACACCAAAUAGAAUACAAAAAAGGUGGGAGCUAUCGUGUGCAAUGGAUCGACGAGUGUGAAAUGUUGCCAUUAGUUUAUGACAAUAGACAGAGUAAAAUGAAAUCUAAAGGAAAACCUAAGUCGAUCUUGAAACGAAGACCAAGUUGAAUGAUUGCAGUCUCUAAAUCUAUUGGCGAAGAACUAAAUCCAGAAAAGCUGUGUCACGCAACUUAAAAAAAAAAGUGACAAUUAAAUGAAAUGUGUAAAACGCGACCGCUGGAGGUAAUGAUUUAAAUAUUUUUUUUAAAAAAUGCGAUGGAUGUUUAAGAAGAUUGUGUCAGUUUCAUUGAUGUGUUGGAAAAAGACUAAAUUGUACACCAUGAAUAGGUCGGUGAAAGUCACAGUUUGCAAUUCUCUCGCUUGUCUUUUUGUAAUCACGUGUCAGAUGAUCUUAUUUACAUUAUAGAUGAUAAGGUAUAUGUACUUUCAUUUCCCGUUUGCGCUAAACAUAGUUCGAGAGCUAAAUGAACAUGUGUGGAAUGUUGUAUUUUAUUUUAUACGCCAUUGUUGUAUUUGCUAUACAAGUAAAAUGUAAAUAAAUUUUAUCAACAAC
rnacentral:lncRNA from 1 species